rnacentral:snRNA from 1 species
GGAUGUGAGGGCGAUCUGGCUGCGACAUCUGUCACCCCAUUGAUCGCCAGGGUUGAUUCGGCUGAUCUGGCUGGCUAGGCGUGUGUCCCCUUUCUCCUUCACCACUCCAUGUGCAUCUCUCCCGAAGCUGUGGGCUCGGUCAAAGAGGACCACCAUCCCCGAUAGAGGAGGACCUUUCUUCAGUCAAGGGUAUCUGAGUAGCUGCGCUCCCCUGCUAGAACCUCCAAACAAGCUCUCAAGGUCCAUUUGUAGUCAAGCUUCUGAGACUCCAGACACAUCCAAAUGAGGCGCUACCCAUGGCAGUCUGCCUUUCUUU